AAUUGUCUGAGUCACGUAAUAAGUAAAGUGCUAACUGUGCAAGCAGAAGGGUCUGAGGCAACACUCAGACCCCAUGUUAAAAAGUCAGGCAUAGAGUCAGGCAGUGGUGGCGCAUGCCUUUAAUCCCAGCACUUGGGAGGCAGAGGCAGGCUGAUCUCUGAGUUCAAGGCCAGCCUGCUCUACAGAGCAAAUUCCAGGACAGCCAGGGCUAAGCAAAGAAACCCUAUCCCUAAAAAAACAACAAUACAUGUUACCAUGCCUGACUUUUUAGGCAGAGAUAGGCAGAUCCCUAGAACCCUUGGCCAGCCAGCAUAGCCUACCUGGUGAGUUCUAGGCUAGUGAGAGACCCUAUGUGGUGGUUUAGUGAGAAAUGCCCUCCUGGGCUCAGGCGUUUAAACACUUGGUCCUCAGUUGGUGGUGCUGUUGGGAAAGUUAUGGGGAAAUGUAGUCUUGCUAGAGGAAGCUUGCCACCUGGGGGAGCACUUUGAGAGUUCAUAGCCCUGUUCUACUUCCAGUGAAAAUAAACAAACACAUACAUCUCAUUAGUAUGCAAAUUUGCCUUAAUCUUUAAUAGAUGAUAAAAUUACAUGUUUAUCAAAGAGUUGUUUCAAAGUUUUUUUUGUUUUGUUUUUGUUUUUUUUGAGACAGGGUUUCUCUGUGUAGCUUUGGAGACUGUCCUGGAACUCACUCUGUAGACCAGGCUGGCCUCAAAUAAGAGAUCCACCUGCCUCUGGCUCCCCAGUGCUGGGAUUAAAGGCAUGCCACCACCACUGGGCACAACGUAAAUUUUUAACUUUUUGGGAGAAUUUAUUACAUGAGUACUGUAUGUACAUUAUUUCUGCCCUGCCUCUCUACCUCCUCCUGUAUCUACCCUCUCAAGUUUAUGACUCUUUUUCUGUAAUUAUUAAUGUUACACACACACACACACACACACACACACACACACACGCAUACAACUUACAGAGCCCACUUACUGUUGCUAUUAUGUAUGUGUUUAGGGCUGACCACUUAGGAUUGGAUAACCUCAGGAGGUUCAGACAGAGAGAAAACUGAUUUUCCCUCUUCAACACCCAUUACCUUGACUACCUGUAGCUGUUCGUCAUGGAUAGGGCCUUGUGAGGUUUCCCCAGAUUUACUGGCAUUUUGCCUGGUGUUGUCAUUAUGCAGGUCUUGUUUAAGUGACCAUACUAUGAAGAUUCAUGGGGGCAGCAUCUCCGUCGUGUCUAGAAGACACUAUUUCACAGCAGACGUUUUGGUCUUUGGUCUUUACAAUCUUUUUAUCUUCUCUUCCACAGUCUUCCCUGAGCCUUAGGUGUUGGGCUGUACUGUUCAAAUACUGAUUGGGGCUGGGCACCCCACAAUCACUUCUUCUCUUUUGACCAGUUGGGCAACUUUGCAGUAGCUCCAGAUAAAAUUCUUUGUGAGUUAUUAUCAGUAGAUGUUUGAUUUGUAUGCCCAUUUUAUGCCUUUUCGGGGCAGGAUCACGCGUAAAAUCUUUAGACGAAAGGGGGUUUCAAGGAGUAAAAGUUUUAUAAGCUCCGGUCUGGACACAAGCUGUCUUAUUCACAAGAGCACACACUAUCAACUGUCUGUUCAGAAAGGGUUCACUCCCUAAGGUGCGGUGGCUACGAAGGCCACCAGGAUGUUACAUUCUGCACACAUCCAUCCACGUCGUAACUACACUUGAUUUGCAACAGCAGCCUUCUAGGGCUACAGCUACAAUAGGCUCCAAGCUCUCUCCUUUGUCCCGCAUAGAUCAUUGUAAGGCCAUAUUGUCUUACUCCUCUGUGCAUCCCCAGAUCAUGGCCCAUGAUAACAAUUUACAUCAUGUCUUUUAAAAACUUAAAGUAGUUGUCAUAAUUUGCUUAUCCAUUACUCUGUUUCUGACCUAGUCCGGGACUGAACUGGUUCCUCCUAGUACUCCGAGAACUCAGCUGCCAAGUUCCUCCAUAUUGAAAUGUUCCCUGCUGGAGCGGGGAAGGAGCCGUGAGACUCAGGGAGUUAGCUAACCUUGCAAAUCUUGGAGACUGAAGAGCGCAAGGUUCCCAAGGCCUUCCCCAAUGUGAUAGAGGCAAUAAGAAGUCAUUGAGGAGGAGACCGACUUGCCUGGAGGAGGGGUGCCAAGCUGUCCAGCCAUUGACAGGAUAAUGCCCAGUGUCUCAACCGGCUUCCUGUGGCCUGCAAGAUAUAGAACUUUCAGCUACUACGCCAGCACCGUGUCUUCCUGCACACUGCUAUGUUCCCUGCCAUGUUGAUAGUGGACUGAACCUCUGAAACUCUCAUUUCUGAAAGUUCAGUGCACGGGAAGCUCUUCAGAAUGACGCUCAAAACCCUGCUUUGGAGCAGCAGCUCAGAGCCGUGACACCUAGAGCACUGGACUGCCUCUGAAGCUUCAGCUGAACCACAAAUGCAAGUCCCACACAGCCAAUGAAGACCUGCCUGACAGCAAUCCCUGGACACCCUAGAAAGAAAAUGGGCCACACCUCCUCGACUGCACUGGAUCCAACUUGCUCCAUUUCAGCUGACACUCCGGCCAGAGGUUUGGGUACUGACUUCAAUCAAGUUGAGGAUUUCAAGCGAGAUCUUCAAUCAAGUGAAUCCCAUCUAACAUGGACUGGAUACUAACAUUUUCUUUCUACAGGACCCCACAUGACUAUCAUCGUCCCAUUUCAGCAGGAAGUAACUUGGAAAAUGCUACGCCCCCUUUCCCCAUUGUUGUCACUUAGGAUAGUGUAUAUACCUAGUUAGGAAUAGCUUCCUAUUGUUUAUGACUUUAGGGUUUAGUUAAAAUAGAUAGUUAUCUUCUUAUAUUUUACCUUUAUACUGUUAAGUUUUAAUCCUCUUUUAGACUAAAAGGGGAAUUGUAGGGGAAGCUGUAGCCACGCCUUCUUAGGGGCUGGCUACAAGAGUACCUGAGGGCUUGUGAGGGCAUGGUCAGAGUGAGUAGGGGGACUGCGUUUUCAGUUUCGGUUUCUCUUUGCUUCUUGCUGUACAGACUACCACCGGCUGGCUGGUUCGCUCUGUAAGUAAGGCUUUUCCCUAUUAAAUACCCUUAUAUUUCUACCUGACUCCGUACUGGUAAUUUCUUACUAUAAUCUGCAAGAGCAGCAAGUGCUCUAAAUCCUGGGCCAUCCUGCAACAGUG
rnacentral:lncRNA from 1 species